UGAGUACGAGAUGCUACGGCAUCGAAGCAGUCUAUGUCAUACUUCCAAGAAAAGCUUGCACUGUCAUAAACAAAGAAUGCCUGUACCAUAACCGACACAGGUGGGUAGGUAGAGUAUACUAAGGGGCGCGAGAUAACUCUCUCUAAGGAACUCGGCAAAAAUGACUCCGUAACUUCGGGAGAAGGAGUGCCUUAUUUCUAAGGUUGCAAUAACAAGAUCCAAGCAACUGUUUACCAAAAACACAGGUCUCCGCUAAGUCGUAAGACGAUGUAUGGGGGCUGACGCCUGCCCAGUGCCAGAAGGUUAAAGAAGUUGGUUAGCAUUAGCGAAGCUGAUAACUGAAGCCCUGGUGAACGGCGGCCGUAACUAUAACGGUCCUAAGGUAGCGAAAUUCCUUGUCGGGUAAGUUCCGACCCGCACGGAAGGCGUAAUGAUUUGGAUACUGUCUCGGAGAGGGGCUCGGUGAAAUAGACUUGUCUGUGAAGAUGCGGACUACCUGCACCUGGACAGAAAGACCCUAUGAAGCUUUACUGUAACUUGAGAUUGAAAUUGGACUUUAUUUGCGCAGUAUAGGUGGGAGGCGUUGAGAAUAAUCUUGCGGGAUUGUUGGAGCCAUCAGUGAGAUACCACUCUUGUAAUGUUAGAUUUCUAACUUUGUAUCAUUAUCUGGUCAAAGAACAGUUUCAGGCGGGCAGUUUGACUGGGGCGGUCGCCUCCCAAAGGGUAACGGAGGCGCACAAAGGUUUCCUCUGAACGGGUAGAAAUCGUACCUAGAGUGUAAAGGCAUAAGGAAGCCUGACUGUGAGACCUACAAGUCGAGCAGGGACGAAAGUCGGUCUUAGUGAUCUGACGGUGCUGAGUGGAAAGGCCGUCACUCAACGGAUAAAAGUUACUCUAGGAUAACAGGCUGAUCUCCCCCAAGAGUUCACAUCGACGGGGAGGUUUGGCACCUCGAUGUCGGCUCAUCGCAUCCUGGGGCGGUAGUCCGUCCCAAGGGUUGGGCUGUUCGCCCAUGAAAGCGGUACGCGAGCUGGGUUCAGAACGUCGUGAGACAGUUCGGUCCAUAUCCGGUGUAGGCGUUAGAAUAUUGAGAGGAGCCUUCUCUAGUACGAGAGGACCGAGAAGGACAUACCUCUGGUGUACCAGUUAUCGUGCCAACGGUAAACGCUGGGUAGCUAUGUAUGGAGUGGAUAACCGCUGAAAGCAUCUAAGUGGGAAGCCCACCUCAAGAUAAG
rnacentral:rRNA from 1 species